rnacentral:ncRNA from 2 species
GGGAAGCCGGUGCGAAUCCGGCGCUGACCCGCAGCCGUGACCCGGCCCGCCGAACGCGGGACGGCAGCCGGAAUGCC